rnacentral:lncRNA from 1 species
GUGUUAUGUAUGGGUUGUGAAUGUGUUAUGUAUGGGUUGUGAAUGUGUUAUGUAUGGGUUAUGAAUGUGUUAUGUAGGCACUCUUCAAAUAUCACCAGGUGUUACCGAAAAAAAAUCCUAAUUCUGAAAGAACCAUCUGGCCCUGUCUGAUACCGUAUUCAUGUUUUCUCUCUUUUCUUGCAGGUUAUGGAAGGGAAAGUUAUUCAAUUUGGUUUUAUCUCGAUUACCGGGAUGAAAAUAUCAUGGUGCGAAGAGCAACGCCAGUUUCAGGAGAGGAGAUUAAACAUUGAUUAUUGAUGAUCCAUGGCGCGGAACCUGUAGUGACGAUCCAGGGCACGGAGCCUCCUGAGAUGGUCCACAGUCCGGAACCACCUGAGACAACCCACAGUCCGGAACCUCCAGCGUCGUUCCCCAGUCCGGAACCUCCAGCGACGGUCCGCAGCCCGGAGUCUUCAGCGACGGUCCGCAGCCCGGAGUCUUCAGCGACGGUCCGCAGCCCGGAGUCUUCAGCGACGGUCCGCAGCCCGGAGUCUUCAGCGACGGUCCGCAGCCCGGAGUCUUCAGCGACGGUCCGCAGCCCGGAGUCUUCAGCGGCGGUCUGCAGUCCAUGGGCUCCAGCGGCGGUCUGCAGUCCGGAGUCUCCAGCGGCGAUCUGCAGUGCAGUGCCUCCGGCGCUGAUCCACAUUCCGGUUCCUCCUCCGACAAUCCACAGUCCGGCAAUACAAAAGUGGAGGGAUCAGCGGUCGGAGUGGGGGCUACGCCCCGAACCGGAGCCGCCAC